rnacentral:lncRNA from 1 species
CAAAGAGGAAAUGAAUUCAAAAACAACCCAGUAGAAUCCUACUAGUAGGGUCUGGGAGGGUAGAGUGUACACAGAUCUUACCCCUAUCCCGAAGGGAUAGAGAGGCUGUUUCCGGGAGACCCUCGGCUCAGAGACAAUAGAUCCAUAACAACAAUAGAAACCAGAAAAAUAGUAUCGAAAAUACAGCAAAUAAAUAGAAAGGCCAAAAUGUGAAAGACAGAAAAAAAUGUGAAACACAAUAAAAACCGCUAGCAGUCCUAGACAAAACACUAGCCGGCGCAGCGAGGAGAAACGCUCGAUUACUUCCUAACCUACAACCCUAAUGCUCGACCUCCACACCUUCCUAUCAAGGGCCAUGUCCUCAGAAAUUUGAAGUCGCGCCAUGUCCUGCCUGAUCACCUCGCCCCAAUACUUCUUAGGCCGUCCUUUACCUCUUCUCGUACCUGCCAGAGCCAACCGCUCACACCUCCUAACCGAAGCAUCUAGGCUCUAACCAUCUAAGCCUCGCUUCCCGCAUCUUGUCAUCCACGGGAGCCAUGACCACUUUCUCCCGAAUAUCCUCAUUCCUAAUCUUAUCCAUCCUAGUGUGCCCGCACAUCCAUCUCAACAUACUCAUUUCUGCUACUUUCAUUUCCUGGGUAUGUGAAAUCUUGACUAGCCAACACUCGACCCCAUAUAACAUGGCCGGUCUAACCACCGCUCUCUAGAACUUGCCUUUAAGUUUAGGUGGCACAUUCUUGUCACACAGGACUCCAGACGCUAACCUCCAUUUCAUUUACCCACCCCGAUACGGUGCGUGACAUCCCGUCGAUCUCCCCAUCUCCCUGGAUAAUAGACCCUAGGUACUUGAAACUCUCUCUCUUAGGGAUGACUUGUGAGUCAAGCCUCACUUCCACAUCCGCCCCGACACGUCGCUGAACUUACACUCCAAAUAUUCCGUCUUGGUCCUACUCAACUUGAAACCUUUAGACUCCAGGGCCUGUCUCCAUACCUUCAGUCUCUCGUUAACGCCACAUCGCGUCUCAUCAAUCAAAACUAUAUCAUCCGCGAACAGCAUACGCCAAGGCACCUCCCCUUGAAUAUGGUGUGUCAGUGCGUCUAUCGCCAGGACAAAUAAGUACGGGCUGAACGCAGAUCCUUGGUAUAACCCCAUAACCAACGGAAAAGGCUCUGAGUCACCUCCCACAGUCCUAACCCGAGUCUUAGCUCCACCAUACAUAUCUUUAAUCGCCCUAAUAUAAACUACCGGUACACCUUUCACCUCCAGGCAUCUCCAAAGAGCGUCCCUAGGGACCUUGUCAUACGCCUUCUCUAGGUCAAUAAACACUAUGUGCAAGUUCCUCUUCCUAUCUUUGUACUGUUCCACCAACCUCCUAAUUAGGUGGAUAGCUUCCGUAGUAGAACGACCCGGCAUGAACCCAAACUGAUUCUCUGAUCUUUACCCUCCCUUCCACCACCCUCUCCCAAACUUUCAUGGUACGACUCAGUAACUUGAUACCCUUAUAGUUGUUACAAUUCUGGAUAUCACCUUUGUUCUUGUACAACGGAAUCAUCGUACUUCACCUCCACUCAUCUGGCAUCCUCUUCGUCCUGAAAAUAAUAUUAAAUAGCUAGUCAGCUACUCCAAGCCUGCUCUACCCAUAUACCUCCAAAAUUCUACAGAGGAAAUGAAUUCAAUGCCUUUAAUUGGACAAUUACCAUACAGUCGUUCAAAGGGAAUGAAUCCAGUACCUUUAAUUGGAGAAUCACCAUGCAGUCAAAGUCGGUCAAAAGAAAUGAACUCAACUCCUUUAAUUGGAGAAUCACCUCAUACCCACAGUCGUUUGAAACGUUCUUCAAUGGGGUUUGAUGAUAAAUUAGUUAACACAAUAUGUGAUGUAAGUUUUUUAUUUUUGUUUUUAGUGUGAAGUUUUUUGUUCAACAUUGUUUGAAUUACAUGCUUCUUUAACUUUCAUAACCUGAAGUUUUUGUUCUGUAUUUGCUGAACUUCAGUAUUGUUAGAGCUGAAGUUAUGUAUUGUGUUUGCUAACAUGCCUGUUUAAUCUGAAUUUUUUCAUGUUGUUUUGCUUAACUACAACAUGUUUUGUACUUUAUUUACUUAAGGCCAAAUGGCCUCGUGAUCACUUAAACUUGUAUCACUUUGCAGACCCGAUACAUAAACUUACACCUUUUCCAUUUGAACACUCCAGCUUGAAAAAAUGGGUACUAAUAACCACCUUUGACCAUUGACUAUGCCUAUGUGGAAGCAAUGCAGCUGACAUGGCUAAAUUGUGUGCAAAUCACGCUGCCAAGGCGCAUGGAUAGUAUUGUUUUUAUUAAAAAAAUAUUAGAGUUUAGAAUAAAAUAUAAAUAAGAAAGAAAAAAAGACCUUUCCCUUCCCCUUCUCUUUCCCCUCCCCUUCCACCUAGGGGUGGGCGUUCGGUACUUCGGUACGCUAUUAAGAACUAUGGUUCGGUAAAUCAAUUAUGCAUACCAAAUACCGUACCAAAGUAAUUCGGUACGAUUCGAUAUUUCUUGUUUGGUUCGGUACGGUUUCGGUAGCCAACCAAACUAGACUAAUUUUGCAUUAGUAUAAAGCAUUAAUAAACUAAAUUGUUAAAAACGUUUUCAACAGUCAACAGACUCAACACCAACACUUCACUGGAUAACUUCAUAUGUUACUGCCCUUACUUACUAACAUGUGCCUGUAAGAAGGCUUCAAUAAAAGUUAAAGAUACAAAAGUUUGCACGUCUAACUAAGAAAGCUUCAACACUUCAAUCAACAAUAUCUGCCAAACAAAACUUAGAAGAUGCUUCCCUUCGACUAAGAAGAUUUUUACUUAAUUACUCUUCAAUCAACAAUAUUUGAGUCCCUGCAACUAAGAAUGCUUCCCAAUAAACUACAUCUGCCAACGACACAGCUAAACUAGUAAACUAGUAAACUACAACAGUCAGGAGUCCAACGACUCCACCAAACAUCUGCCAAAUAAUUCGGCAUUUCGAUAUACCGAAAUAUCGAAACUUCAAUACCGAGGACCGUACCGAAACACUGAAUAACCAAAAAAUUGAUACCGAAAUACCGAACUAAUGUCCGGUUCGGAAUUCGUUUUUUCGGGUUUUAUGCCCACCUCUACUCCCAACUCUCUCGUCUUCCCAGCAAAUCUCCCACCCCCAUUCUGUAAUAUUUUUCAUUUUCUAUCUUAAUUUCUCUCCCCCUCCCCUUUCUCUAUUUCCUUUUUCCUUCAUCUUCCAUCUUUUCUUUCAUUUGCUAGUCUCCACCCACCAUUUUCGUCCCAACCUCCCUCAACCACCGGUAGACGGAAGAAAGCUUGAACUUUGUCGUUGUUCUAUCAUCGAAUUCAUCUUUACCAAAGUAGUAGCAAAAAAGGCAGAUUUGUAAUAGUAUUGGGCGACCUCCACUUUCAAAAUCAUGGAUUUCUGUUUUUUUUUUCUAAAAUUCCAAAUUUAAGUUUUUUUGUUAUGGUCUAAUCAUGGCCAUAGUGAUGUUGUGAAUUUGAUUUAGAAAUAAGAGAGGAAAGAAUAAUGAAGAAAAAAGAAAGGAGAAGAAAGAAGAAGAGGAAGGGAGGAGGUGACGAAGAAGAAGGGGGAUGGUUGUGUACAGAUUAAAACUGGUGUAGUAAGUUUUAGGUGUUUUUCCUUUUUUUCUUUUUUGUAUUUGUAACUUUUUUUUGCUGAUUUUGUAUUUAAAAAUGGGACCCACAAAUAACACAUGUCAAGUAAUAAAUAAUUUAGCAUAUGACGUGUUGUACAUGUCAGCGCAAUUGAUAUACACGCUCUGCUGGAUGUGUUUAUUAGUACCCAUUUUUUCAAGUUGGAGUGUUCAAAUGGGAAAUGUGUAAGUUCAUGUAUCGGUUUUACAAACGGAUACAAGUUUAAGUGGUCACGAGGCCAUUGGCCUUUACUUAACUACAUGCCUAUUUAGUCGGAAAUUAUUGUAUUGUUUCUAUUUUUAUACUAGAGGGUAAUGAGGGAGGUUAAAAAGCAAAGUGCAAGUUCAAGUGGAAGGUUCUAGUGUUGAUAGAUUGAGCAAAAAUGUUGGAUGUGAUGAAAAGUUAUUAACCGAGAAUGUUGGAAUUGAGAAAGAUGCAGAUAAUGAAGCUGUUGUUACUAAAAAACAUGCACUGAAUGCAGAUGUCUAUACUCGUAUUGCAAUUUGUUUUUGGAAGCAUUAACUGUUUAUCAAGGAAUUUUAGGUAGAAACACACAAGAAGUUGUCACUACAGGUAUAAAUGUGUUCUAUCUUAUUAUAUUUGAUUACCGGUAAGUUUUGAGUCGUUGAUUUCUUUUCUCUAUCAAUAUGCAGUGGAAGUAAAAAACAAUGGCGCUUCAAUUGAUAAGAGUCAAAAACACCCCAACGAUGUUGCAUGAAGCUCGACUUGAAAAAUCCUUCUGCAAAAUACUCCAAAGCUCCCCGGCUAUGCUGCACCAUUGAAUGAAGUUGCUGAGAUAGAGAAAGGUAUGCAGUCCGGCUAGCACAGAGGAAAGCAAACGUCGAGGUGUCCUACACAUCACGAACUUAUUACAUUUGAUCCAAGUUUUUAUUUUUAGUUUGAAAUUUAUUUUCUUUUUUGCAUUUUUUUCAUAAUUAAUUAUUAUUCAGAAAGAUUUCAGGCAGCUGAAAAAGAAAUUGGCAAGCUCAGAAAUACAUCUUUUUAUACCUGUUGGCUCGCAGACAAGUGUGAAGUUGCUUUGUAGUAUUUUCAAAAUUUAGUAAGUAUUAUUUAAUUUGUUUUUUCUUUUUUUUUUUUGCAUGAAGAUGUAGUGAUAUCUGAGGGGAAUGCAAGCGGAUCCAUUAGUAUGCAAACGCCAUCUGCAUCACAACACUUAGACCAGGUAGUUAUUUCUUGCAAUGUGAUUACAGGGUGUUUUUGACAAAUGUGUGUUUGUAACAGUUGUAUUUAUGUAUAUAUUUUCUUUGUUUUUAAGAUCUCAUCUGAUGGAUCGCAACUCCUUCCAAAUCCUAAGAGAAAGAAGCUAUCAAGUUUUGCUUGACAAUAGUUAUAUCCCAACUUCAAUUAUGUUCAUUUUCACUUGGUAGUAUACAAGAGAUUAUUUCAGAAGGCAAUUCUGCUGCUGCUGCUGUUGGUGAAGUGAGACAAGAAGAUUAUAAACAACAGGGAGUUUGAGAAAGAUCUAUUCUUAUGGCUGUGGGUUUUGCAGCUCCUGCCGAACCACGACAGUUAGUUGAGGCUGAGCAGCAAGCAGAAGGAAAAGCAGCUAAACUAGGGAAAAGGAAUCGCAUAGCUAGUAUUUGGUUGAAAUUUCCUUGUGUGAUUCAUAGCAGCAGGACAGUGGGAGUGAAAAGAAGAACGUGUCCAUGCUGUCCUUGUCCAAUUGCUGUAUGUUAAGUUUGAGUACAUGAGAUGAGUAUCAAAGAGAAAUUCGCACUUGGAGCUACUCACUCUUAGGAGCUGCUUUUCAAUUAAACACGUGAGUAACUGCAUUCUCUAUAAUGUGAUCAAUUUGCAUGUUCUACUAUCUGUGAUGUUUGUUGGCACAUGCCUGUAUUGCUUAUCCAUUCAUAUUCAUCUAGCCAAAACAUGCGGAAUUUCUUUUUUGACGCAUGUGUCAAAGACUAUUUGGUAAUUUGCGAGAUAGUUGAUUGAUUGAUCCCUUGAUCCCAAAGACAAUCUUGAAGGUACUAAUCGUAAGAGUUCUGGUCUGCUAUCUAUCUUUACGUAACUUUAGAAAUUUCAUAUGUUUAAUGGCCUUAAAAGUCCUUGUUGUCAAGAAAAAUCUGUUCAUGUCAAGUGUCUGUAAAAGUUUGUGUUAUAUCGGAAUAUGGAGUAGCCACUGAUCGUGGUCUGUAUUUAUUUGUUAUGCAGAUACAUAUCUUUGUCAAGGAAGAUGCUAUCUUUUAUUGGCUUUGUGAAUUUAACUUUGUAUUAGGAUCACAGAAUGAAAGAUAUGGUAUCUGAAUUUUCGAAAGUGGAGGAAGCCAAACCAUAUGUCUUGAAAGGGCAUAUAUCUUUUUUAGAUUCUGCUGGGGCAUUGAAAUCUUGCUGCACGAUAAUUUAGAAGUCUUACCUCCAAAUAUAAUGUACAAUAUAUGGGGAGAUUUUUUCCCUUUUUAGAUCGAUAUUAUUACCUGAUGUUUUCUUUGCUUCCUUCGGUUGUUGCUACUAUCUCGCUUUCCAUAGUUUUUUGUCAUAACUGUUGUGAUUUUGCUUUAUUGAGCCGAGGGUCUUCCGAAAACAACCUCUCUACCUUCACAAGGUAGGGGGUAAGGUUUGCGUACAUACUACCCUCUCCAAACCUCACUUGUGGGAACACACUGGGUAAGUUAUUGUUGUUGUAAUAUAUGGGGAGAUUCCUUCCUUUAGUAUACUUUUUGGUAUCUCUUAUCUUAUCUCUUUGGUUCUUUGUGAUAUGGGACAGUGUUUGGUUGAUUACUCUGCCUUAAAAUGUGCAUUUGUUCUGGAUUUUGGACCUCCUGAAAUUGAUUUAUAGGCCACUUGCAAAACUUUCUGGAACAAUUUAUUAGCUACUUGAAGAUCUUUAUGGAGUUGUUUCUUCUUCUCCCUCUUUGCUCCUACUGGCACAGGGUGACGGGGUGUGUGACAAAAAUGUGGUGGGUCGCAUAUUUGAGAAUUUACUGGAAAAUGACAUGAAUUGUUUUAUGCGACCCACCUAUAGGUCACGGGUUCGAGCCGUGGAAGCAGCCACUAAUGCUUGCCUUAGGAUAGGCUGUCAACAUCACAUCCCUCGGGGUGCGGCCCUUCCCUGGAACCUGCGUAAAUGCGGGAGUGCACACCCGGGCUGCCCUAUAACAGAGGGGAGUGGGGCAUGGGCGUGAUAGAGUAUGCUAGUAAAUGCUACAGUUGAGCGGUCCUAAAACCAGUGCUUUAGCAAAGAGUAAUUGCAUGGUCCCUAAUGUGAAUACUGUCUUGUUGCUAUCCCACAUAUAGGUGCUUGCACUCUAAUAAAUACAUGACAUGAAAUUUGUAUAUUAAGUUUUAUCAGUUAAACAUGCUUAAAUAAAAGACAUUCUCAUAUAUCAGAUAAUCAUAAUAAGUUAUUAUAGUUAGAUGUAAAUAUUCUCCGCUUGCCGACAAAUGAGGAAUAAUCUCCCCUCGCUAAUAUGAGUGGAGCUAAAAUUGCAAAUACGGGUUCGAUCGAAUUCAGUUGUUGCUCCUUCUCCACUCACUAACCUAUGUUGGAGAGACAUGUAGAGGAUAUUGUUAAUUGAUUAUUUAGAACAACAUAACAGUUUUAAGUCCAAUAUGAUUCAUCAGCUGCAAGUACAAUCCACUCACUAGAUUAUGAAUUCAACUCAGGAUGGUAGUUGAAUUUUACAUAGAUAAAAAUAAAUAUGACUUUUAUUCUGCAAUGUUUCAAGUUUUAUUUAUGGAUAAUGAUGGACGAUUCAUCAAAUGAAUCGGCUGUGGUGUUCAAAAAUAUAAAUAUUUUUCAGCAGAAAGUCAUUUUUUUGGUGUUUGAUUGACGGACAUUAAAUGGAGGGAAAUAACUUCAGUUAUUACGGGCGAAAGUCGUUUUCCUUGCAACUGUCUAAUCUUUAAACUUCAUAUUACUUUAGUCAAAUAAACAUUAUUACUAGUCUUUUGUAUUAAAAAAUUUCGUCAAAACACGUCCCUGAAUCUCCGAUUUGCUUGUGUUUUUAAUCUCAAAUAUAUAUAUAUAUAGAUAUUUUUCGAAAAAGUUUCAUUCACCAAUCAAACACUUAAAAUAUUUUUCAAAAAUAUAUUUCAUGAAUAAUGACUUCCUCUAACCAUUCUUACUCAUUCACAAACGGGAAAUUUACAUUAGAAAAUAGAAAUAAAGAGGAAUAGUUCCUGUCAAAGUAAUGGCUUUUGGUCCCUACCCUAUUUAUCUCCAUCAAUUUCCCAAAACAAGACAAGAUAUUUUUUUCUUUUCUUAUCUGUCUCUCCUCUUAAUAUAUGACAGACAUUGUGUGGUGUAUAAAGCAUUGUACACAUUUCUUUUUGAACUUUGGGUGAUAUUAAGCGUGUGAAAGAGCACUUUCUUGAACAGAAUUGUGAUAAAAUGACAAUUCUGUAGUUGUAAAAAGAUGGAUAUUUCAUUAUCCAAGUGGGCUUCUGGCUAUUUCUCCUCGUUCAAUUAAGUGGUGGAGAAAGAAAAAUAGGCUAAUUUAGUUUUAACGUUAACUUCAAUCCAAAAAUAUUUUAUCUUUCUAACUCGUCCAUGAUAAAAACGUGUUCAGCAGUGGACAGUGACGGAUCCAAAUAUUUUAAAUAUGGUUGCUUAACUAUUUUUCAUCUCAAAAUUGCUACUAAGAUUGGUUAAUAUAUUUGCAUAAAUUUUCUAUUUUUUAUAAUGAUAGUAUUUGGUUCCAUAAGUAAUGGGUGCUCGAGCAUCCAUAACCUAUAAUGUAGAUGUAGCAGAUGUAGAUUAUUAGCUUUAUAGGUCAACUGAA